AUGAUGCUAAAUUUACAAAUUAACUUAGGAAGAUUUGACAGAUCUACGAUGCUGAGUCUUCCACAGAACACUGCGAAAGGUUUGAAGACUGUAUUAAUUACAACAAGGCGUACAAUCUCUCCUGUCAGUUUCUUCCAGACUUGGAGCUGGAGGAUCAUUACCAUCUCCAGCUAUCUGAACAACAGCCAACCUGAGGGGUCAUUCAUCUCCCUACCUCUACUGCGUGAACAGGGACUGCACUGGGAGUGGCCCUGCAGCUUCGCAAUCCCCUUGAUGGCGCCUUAAACAGUCCCAACACUGAAGAGAACACCUUGUGCACACAGAACUAGAGGAGGCUUCCUAUAACCACGUCACACAGGAAAGAUGUUGGCUGUGUGGAGGAAAGGAGACUGAAGAGUCUUCCUGCUUCUCCCUGCUGAUGUCCUUGCAGAAAAGGGGCUAAGCAGGGACCGGGGGGAACCUCAGGAUCCCCUUGGAGAGACCGUGGAGCAGGGACCGAGGAGUGAGGACAAUCGCGGAGAGGAGGAGGAAAUUCACAGGCACCGCCAAUGCCUGUGGCGCUGGGGGUGGGCCGUCAGUUCACUCAUUCAACAACGACUGGGAAGUAGCUACGAUGUGUCAAACACUAAGCUACUUACAUCACCAGGAAAAUUCUGAAAAGGAAGAAGGUAGAAAAGGGUUGCCUAGCCCUCCAAAUGUUAAGCCAUACUAGAAGUGUUGCUGGAGCACAGGGGAUUUUUUUCGUGGUGUAAGCUAAUCUGUCUGAUACUCUAGGGGUAAAUGCAUGUCAUUGUACAUUGGCCAAAGCCAUAGAUUAUACAACACAGAGUGACCCGUGAUGUGAGCUAUGGACUUUGAUAAUAUGUGUCAAUGUUGCUUCAUUGAUUACAACAAAUGGAGCACACUGGUAUGGCAUGGUGAUGGUGGGAAAGGCUGUGUAGGGUGAAGGAGAGAUGGUUAAAGUGAGAACUCUUUACUUUCUGCUCCGUUUUACUAUGAAGCUAAAACUGCUCUACAAAUGAGUCUAUUAGUUUUUUACUUUUAAUUUUUUUUGUGAGGAAGACUGGCCCUGAGCUAACGUCUCUGCCAGUCUUCCUCUGUUUUGUGUGGGAUGCUGCCACAGUGCGGCUUGAUGAGCGGUGCUGGGUCCACACCUGGAUCCCAAACUGCAAACCCGGGCCACCGAAGUAGAGCUGGUGAACUUAAGCACUACGCCACCAGGCCGACCACCUCUGUCAGUUUUUAAAAGAUGUGUUGCUGGCCCUUGAGUAACCACAGAUCAGUGGAACAGAGUACAUAAAUAGAUAAUACAUAAAAAGAAUAUUUAGCACUAAGAGCCAUCCUUCAUUUAUUUAGAUAUUCUAGGAGUAUUUAUAAGUGCCUACUCAUAGGCACUCCGCUUGGAGCUGGAGGUACAGUGGUGGACAACACUGAUGUGGUCCCUGCCUUCUGGGAGUUUACAGUCUGGUUAGGUCCCCCGUGACACAAUACAGAAGUAAAUCUCUAGAAGUGAGCUUAUUUUCUUCCCUCUAAUCUCUGGGGGAAAAGUUGUAAUCUAGCUUGUAACUUCCAGAAGGGUGGAAACUUUCCUCUGAAUCACACUGUAUGUUAGCAUCAUAGGGCUUGAAUGAAUGACAGUAUAAGAAAGGAUUGAAGCACACAUUGCUGUUUCUUAUUUCAUUCUCUCUGACAGAGGUUUGGAAAAGAAUCUUGUUCUAGAAGAAUGUUUUUACCCCUUGGCUGUUUCCAGCAAAUCUGAGAGCAGAGUGAAGAACUUGGACUGAUUAUUGAUGUAACACAUACUCCCACUAAUACAAACCAGAGGUAAAUGGAACCCUUAAUUGAAAGGAACCGUCUUCAUUCUUAUGGUAUAAUAAGCAUAGUAAUUCAGUAGUUGUAAUCCUGGCCUUCUCUCAUGGGUAGUAUUUCAAAAAGGGAACCAAGUGCUUUCCUUAAUUACGCUUUUCUAAUUGCUACCUGAAAAAGAGAGUAAAGAUGUGAAUUGAAAUAUAAUAUUUGGCAAUAACCUCUGUAUGUGCUUUAAGAAAUUGUAUGAACUUCCAUGUUCUAUGUAUAUUUAUAAAGUAUAUAUUAUAAAAAAUACAUACAUAUAUUUUUGCUGAGGAAAGAUUUCUCCCUGAGGAUNNNNNNNNNNNNNNNNNNNNNNNNNUUGCUAUACGAGCUUUAGAAUCAGAUGAUAUGAGAUGACGUUAAAUUUAUAAAUUAACUUAGGCAGAUCUGACAGAUCUACGAUGCUGAGUCUUCCACAGAACACUGUGAAAGGUUUGAAGACUGGAUUAAUUACAACAAGGCGUACAAUCUCUCCUGUCAGUUUCUUCCAGACUUGGAGCUGGAGGAUCAUGACCAUCUCCAGCUAUCUGAACAACAGCCAACCUGAGGUAACUCAUUUAGUCACAAACCGCUUAGGAAGCCUUCCUUGAUUAACCCUGUCUGUUGUCAUUUCCCCCUCCUUUCCAUUCCUAGGCAUUUCUGCUGUGGCAUUUCUGUGACACAUCAUUUGCCACUUGACAGUCCACUGUGCCUGACACUCGACUGCCAGGUACUGAGGCACCUUUGCCUUGGGUGACUUCCCUCAAACACCCAGGACACCUUGUCCCAUUCCGCUGCCACGCAGGGGUCAUUCAUUUCCCUACCUCUACUGCGUGAACAGGGACUGCACUGGGAGUGGCCCUACAGCUUCGCAACCCCCGUGAUGGCGCCUUAAACAGUCCCAACACUGAAGAGAACACCUUGUGCACACAGAACGAGAAGAGGCUUCCUAUAACCACGUCACACAGGAAAGAUGUUGGCUGUGCGGAGGAAAGGAGACUGAAGAGUCUUCCUGCUCUUCCCUGCUGAUGUCCUUGAAGAAAAGGGGCUGAGCAGGGACCCGGGAGAACCUCAGGAUCCCCUUGGAGAGACCGUGGAGCAGGGACCGAGGAGUGAGGACAAUCGCGGAGAGGAGGAAAGUAGGAGGAAAUUCACAGGCACUGCCAAUGCGGGUGGGGGUGGGCCGUCAGUUCACUCAUUCAACAACGACUGGGAAGUAGCUACGAUGUGUCAAACACUAAGCUUGGUGUUGCUGGAUGUGAAUCAGAACCAUUUGUCUGUCUAUGAAAUCACUCAUGUUUAAGUCCAGAGAUGCAGAAGAAUUGACAGAGUAGGUGAAGAAGAAAGAAACCCUGACCUAUGAGACACAAAUUAAAUAAAUUCCCAAUACGUUGAAAGUGGGCUCUUCCU
rnacentral:lncRNA from 1 species